GGAGGAAAAGAAACCAACAGGGAUUGCCUCAGUAACGGCGAGUGAAGCGGCAUCAGCUCAAAUUUGAAAUCUGGUCUCACGAUCCGAGUUGUAAUUUGUAGAGAAUGCUUCGGGCGAGGUCCGGUCUAAGUUCCUUGGAACAGGACGUCAUAGAGGGUGAGAAUCCCGUAUGCGACCGGGUGCCUCCGCCCAUGUGAAGCUUCUUCGACGAGUCGAGUUGUUUGGGAAUGCAGCUCAAAAUGGGUGGUAAAUUUCAUCUAAAGCUAAAUACUGGCCAGAGACCGAUAGCGCACAAGUAGAGUGAUCGAAAGAUGAAAAGCACUUUGGAAAGAGAGUUAAACAGUACGUGAAAUUGUUGAAAGGGAAGCGCUUGCAACCAGACUUGCGCGUGGCCGAUCAUCCGGUGUUCUCACCGGUGCACUCGGUUGCGCUCAGGCCAGCAUCGGUUUCGGUGGUUGGAUAAAGGCCCGGGGAAUGUAGCUCCUCUCGGGGAGUGUUAUAGCCCUGGGUGCAAUGCAGCCUACCGGGACCGAGGACCGCGCUUCGGCUAGGAUGCUGGCGUAAUGGUUGUAA
rnacentral:rRNA from 1 species